rnacentral:rRNA from 1 species
UUCUCGAAUUUAAAAGAGUUAAUUAAUUAAAAAAUUUAUUGUAGUAAAAAUAUUUUUCAUAAUUAAUUAGAAAUGAAAUGUUAAUCGUUUUUAAAUAUAUCUAGUUUUUUUAGAAAAAAAUUUAAUUUUAAAUUAAAUUAAUUAAAAAAUUAAUUAAAAAAUUUUUUAAAAUUUAAAUUUAAUAUUUUAAGGGAUAAGCUUUAAUUUAAAAUAUUUAUAAUUAAAUAUUAAAUUUUUUGAAAAUUUUAAAAUUUAUAUUGUUUAAAAAUUAUAAUUUUUUAUAAAUAAUUUCAUAAAAAAUAAAAUUUAAUUUUAAUUUAAUUUUUUAUAAAAAAAUAAAAUUUAAAAAAAUAAUUUUAGUUAUAAUGAUAAAAUUAGUAUAUAAAUUUUAUUUAAUUAAUAUUAUAAAAUAUUUUUAAAUGAAAAAUUAAUUAUAAGGAAUUCGGCAAAAAUUUAUAUUCACUUGUUUAUCAAAAACAUGUCUUUUUGAAAUAAUUUAAAGUCUAAUCUGCCCACUGAUGAAAAUUGAAGGGCUGCAGUAUUUUGACUGUACAAAGGUAGCAUAAUCAUUAGUCUCUUAAUUGGUGACUUGUAUGAAAGAUUGGAUGAGAUAUAAGCUGUCUUAUUUUUAUUUAUAGAAUUUAAUUUUUU